GACGAACGCUGGCGGCGUGCUUAACACAUGCAAGUCGAACGGAAAGGCCCUGCUUUUGUGGGGUGCUCGAUUGGCGAACGGGUGAGUAACACGUGAGUAACCUGCCCUUGACUUUGGGAUAACUUCAGGAAACUGGGGCUAAUACCGGAUAGGAGCUCCUGCUGCAUGGUGUGGGUUGGAAAGUUUCGGCGGUUGGGGAUGGACUCGCGGCUUAUCAGCUUGUUGGUGGGGUAGUGGCUUACCAAGGCUUUGACGGGUAGCCGGCCUGAGAGGGUGACCGGCCACAUUGGGACUGAGAUACGGACCAGACUCCUACGGGCGGCAGCAGUGGGGAAUAUUGCACAAUGGGCGGAAGCCUGAUGCAGCAACGCCGCGUGCGGGAUGACGGCCUUCGGGUUGUAAACCGCUUUCGCCUGUGACGAAGCGUGAGUGACGGUAAUGGGUAAAGAAGCGCCGGCUAACUACGUG
rnacentral:rRNA from 1 species